AUUGAACGCUGGCGGCAGGCUUAACACAUGCAAGUCGAGCGAGCGGCGGACGGGUGUGUAACGUCUGGGAAACUGCCCGUUGGAGGGGGAUAACUACUGGAAACGGUAGCUAAUACCGCUUACCAUCAGAUUUGCCCAGAUGGGAUUAGCUGGUGGGUGGGGUAAUGGCUCACCUGGGCGACGACCCCUAGCGGGUCUGAGAGGAUGACCAGCCAAACGGGAACGAGGACACGGUCCAGACUCCUACGGGAGGAAGAGGUGGGGAAUAUUGGACAAUGGGCGAAAGCCGGAUGCGGCCAUGCCGCGUGGAUGAAGAGGGCCUUCGGUUGGUAAGGUACUUUCAGCGGGGAGGCGUUACCCGCAGAAGAAGCACCGGCUAACUCCGUGCCAGCAGCCGCGGUAAUAC
rnacentral:rRNA from 1 species